rnacentral:sRNA from 1 species
CCAAAACCAAAAAAAAA